rnacentral:rRNA from 1 species
AGCAUAUCAAUAAGCGGAGGAAAAGAAACCAACAGGGAUUGCCCUAGUAACGGCGAGUGAAGCGGCAACAGCUCAAAUUUGAAAUCUGGCCCUUUUAGGGUCCGAGUUGUAAUUUGUAGAGGAUGUUUCGGGCACCGCCCCGGUUUAAAUUUCUUGGAACAGAAUGUCAAAGAGGGUGAGAAUCCCGUCUUGAACCGGGGUAGGGUCCAUGUGAAACUCCUUCGACGAGUCGAGUUGUUUGGGAAUGCAGCUCAAAAUGGGUGGUAAAUUUCAUCUAAAGCUAAAUAUUGGCCAGAGACCGAUAGCGCACAAGUAGAGUGAUCGAAAGAUGAAAAGCACUUUGAAAAGAGAGUUAAACAGUAUGUGAAAUUGUUGAAAGGGAAGCGCUUGCAACCAGACUUGAGCGCGGCGGUUCCCCCUUCCUUCUGGUUGGGUUAUUCCGUCGUGUCCAGGCCAACAUCAGUUUUGGUGGCCGGUUAAAGGCUUUGGGAAUGUAUCUAGGCCUUCGGGACUAGACUUAUAGCCCAGAGUGUCAUGCGGCCUACCGAGACUGAGGAACGCGCUUCGGCUCGGAUGUUGGCGUAAUGGUUGUAAGCGACCCGU